rnacentral:lncRNA from 1 species
GAAAAAUAAAAAGAUGAACUCUUUGAGAUUAGAGGUAAUAAUAUCAAGAAAUAUCUGUUCUCAUUUGAGUGCAUGUGUCUCUGCAAAAUUCAUAUGUUGGAACUUAAAGCCCAGGGUGAUGGUAUUAAGAGGUGGUAGAAAGGCAUUUGGGAAUGGAUUACAUCAUAAAGGCUCUACCCUGAUUAAUGGGAUUAUGGAACAGGCUUCAAAGAGCUACCUGGAACUUCCAUCACUUCUACCAUGUGAAGAUAAACAUGAAUCUCUUUUUUCCCUUAUAUUUCUUCUGCCAUGUGAGAACACAGUAUUUGUCUUUUCCACCUUUCCAUGAUGUGAGGACACCCCAAGAAUGUCCCCUAAAGACAGGAAACAAGACAUGGAAUCUUCUGGCACCAUGAUCUUGGACUUCAUAGCCUCCAAAAUGUGAAGGGAACGAGAGCAAAGCCACCUGCAUAUCUUCGGCAGUUAAAGAUCAGAAUCAUAACAACAAUAACAUCUCACAAUUUUCCAAGUGCUCCUUCGGCUCUGUCUUUUUCCUCCCACCUGAGGCCCCCAGGGUGGGUGUAGACAUUCAUCUCUGCUUCAUUUGAUCCACCUCUGCUUGGCCACUGCUGGACUUUUUCUCAGGCAAAGGAGAACCCCCAGGAGAGUGGAUAAACUGGACCAAGGAGCUGCAGAGCUCAAAUAGAACACUUCUCCUUCAAAAUUUAACUCAGCUCUCGGAAACACUGAAAGGAAAUGUGGCCUAUAAUUAUCCAACGUGAGAUGCAAGGAUUGAAUGCUUUGUCCAAGCUUUGCUGUUCUAAGAGAAGUCAAGGUGAAGGGUUUAGUGCCUCUGAAGCUGGGGCAAGAAAACAAUCGGCUUCUCCAACGGUCAGUAAAGAAUACAAGGGCACAGUUAAAACAGAGCCACUGAAGUGAACAACCUUCAUGUGACCAACAGGAGAAACACCCCCUCCAGGAACCUAAGACCAGUUUGCUACAAGAAUACAAUUGGUAUUCCCCACAGUCACCCUCACAAGGGACACUUACAAAGCACACUCCAAUCUCAGCCAUUACUGACUGACAAGAGCCUGCCUGUCUGAAGCCUGCAGGCCCGAGAAGCUUCUUUCUCCCUUCUCUUGGCUAUUAGUCACAGCUGGUAAGGCUCACAGGAACCGAGACUGUUUGAAAACAGUUGGAUCACGAAAACGUUUGAGUCUUUCUGCUGCAAGCAACAAACUUGGCCCAGGCUGCCACAAGGAGAUGGAGUGGGAGUGGGGGUGGCGAUGGGAUGCACCAGGAACGAAGGAAGAAAGGGAAAUUGCUAACCACCUCACUUCAAAAUCUUCUCUGAGGGAGCCCGUGGCUAUUAUCCUGGUUCAAAUGUCACAGAUAGAAGAUAAUAAAAACAAGAAGAAAUAAAAUUCAAGAUCCAUUAGAACACUUCUGGAUUGUCCAUUACAGCAUGUAUUACCCAACAGAAAGAUGAUCACUAAUAGAUGACAAGCUAUUUAAUUUUAUGUUUACUUUUGGAAGGAUGCAGGUACUGUGCAGGGUUUCUACAACACAUCAGCAUUGCUUACACCAGUACUUCAAAUAUGAGUUAUUUAAUCACCCAAGUUAAAUGAAAAUAACCAAAUGAUUAAAUAAAAUCAAGUCAUACUUCAUGUGAAGACUUUA